ACUCCCUGCAGGCAGCUGCAGGAAUUGAACUUGGGUCACCAGUACUGUAAACUGUCGUGUUAACCACUACGCUACCAUGCCGCCCUCAAUGCAGGGAUUACUUUUUGUUUUCUUUAUUCUGGAGGAGCUAUUGUAAUUUUUCAAUUUAUACAGAAAGUUUAUUUGAUUGCAAGCAGAACUUGUGUUUUGUAACACUUUUUGCUCCAUCAGAUUCCUUCUUCACCACAGCCUUUUCCUUUCCUACCUACCUGGCUUCACCUAUCACCUUCUCGCUAUCCUCCUUCCCCUUCCUCUCACCUCUUUAUUCAGGCAUCUUCCCCCUUCCAUUCCCAUCCUGAAGAAGAGCCUCAGUCCAAAACGUUGACUGUUUAUAGAUGCCGCCUGACCUGCUGAGUUCCUCCGGCAUUGCGUGUGUUGCUUUGGAUUUCCAGCAUCUUGUGUUUAUGUCGUGGAGAGAUCCGUCAUGAGCCUAACGCAUGGCUGUGAAUCAGGAAGCAGCCACAAAACUAAGAAACCCAAAAGGACCCAUUUUAAAAAAGCGUCGAACACCAAUGUGUGGACAGAAAGAGAAAAACAACACAUGGGACUACAGGAAUAAAGAUGAAUAUAAAAAGUUGAAUAUAAACUACUUGGCUACCAAAGAACAUUUUAGGACUGGUUAAGUACACACAAGAAUAAACAAAAGCAAAAAUAGAUGUGUAAAACCGAAUUUCUGAGUUCAGCUUUUGGGCACUGAAAGGUUUCUAAAACGAAGUGGGCAGAUAAUUUGGAUUCAGAGGGAUAAUAUUUAGAAGGGAAGAGUGUGGCUGCAUCAUUUGGUACUGGGGUGUGUUAUUUUUGGCCACCACAGGUGCUAAUUCAGUUCUGAUGUGUAAAUGCAUUUGUGGUAUGAGUUGUGCCAAAGACUCAAGCAAUAUGAUCAUCGGCCAUGUGCACACGUCCAACCACUGCCUAUAGGAAGUGUGAAGAGAAGGCAGAUGGUAACAUCAAUCAGUGUACAGCAGUGAUUUGAUACGAAUGCUCCCAUUUUAGAACACAACGCACCAUGCAAUGCCCUCACUUAACCUCGCACAGCUGAACACAUGCUCAGAAGCAGGGUGGCAGAGGGGAAGAAGCUGUGUUAUGUGUUAUGUGCAGGCAUUGUCAAUUAUAUGAUGAAGUUUGUUACCUUUACUGGCUGUUGUUACAGUCCCUUGAGUGCCUAGUGAUUUCUAGUAUUAUAAUUCUACUGCCCAUUGUGCCACUGGCGUUUAAGGCAGCAAUGAAGGUUCUCCAUCUCUGCCCGUGUUCAGGGCUUUCUUCAUCAUGUGAAUAGUUUGGUUUCCCCUAUUAUCAGUCAUGCAAUUCCCAAGUGGAAGCUCAGGAAUACUGUCACACUUAGAUGUAGAAUGCUUCUGUAUUGUUGAUUCCACAACAGUUUUGUUCUACCAGUCAGGGUUUGUGGCCCUGAGCUGACCCCUCAAACCUGGAGGACCAGUGGACCACCCUUAGUCUGCCCUUUGACCUGUUUGGCAUGGGUGACUCUACUAAGAGCCAAAGCGUAAAGCCCCGACUCCAGCCAGUAUAGCUCUCCAGGUCAAUCAGGCACGCAAGCCUCCAAACCCAUCAGCAAGGCUGUGGUCCUCUGGGAUGUAGUGUUCAAAGUGAGUAUGAUAUUUUCUGAUGAGGGAGGAACUGAAGGAAGUGUGGCUAACUUUAAAGAUUUUUCUGAAAUGCAUCUGGAUGAGGUGUCAGUUAUGAUAAAUAGUCAGAGAUGUGCAUCAGCUGCAAGGUAUGCAACAUUUCUGAGUGUAAGUUAGGUAGAAGUGCUGACUGAUACAGAUAGUUGAUAGGUGUGAUGGUCCAUCGAGUAAUACUGUAUCUGAGGUUGGCCAUACAACUGAUGGGAUAUUAUAUUUGAAGAGACAUUUUCUGAACCUAACCUGGAAAGUGAGGACAUUGGACUUCUUGUACCAUGUCUUUAAUGCUUCUGGAUAAAGCAUGAUGCUCAACUUCCAUGUCAUUCAUCAAGUUUCCAAUGCAGCCCUGGAAAAUCAUGAGGACUGUACUCUUCCACAUGAUGCCAUAGCUUCCCUGGGUGGAAUACCUUCCACUAUUUGUUGGUGCAGUUGAACCACAUCUCCAACUUCAGCAAUGAAACUUCUCAGUCCUGCUGACUAACCUAAUUGACACUGGUCGCUUACAAUCUUGGCUCCCUACCGAGGCCCACUCAACAGAGCAGUUGGUGCUGGCCGCAAAUAUGUAACUUAGCAGGCAACAUGAAAUUAGAGUGAUGCCUGAUUUAGAGGCAACUGGUAAGUUAUUUUUAUAACGCAAUCCCUGUUCUCUUUUCUGGGGCUAUCCAAUUUAACCAGCUGUGGCUAUUUGAAGAGAUGUGAGAUGCUGGGUCUAGUUUUACUAAAGUUAUGAAGAUUAAGUGGAGAUUCAGCAGAUGUUCUAAAUUAAAACAGAAUUUUGUUGGAACAUGACCACUUCCUUUGAUUAGAAUUUCAACACUGAAAGAUCAUCAGUUUGUAUCAUCAUCAAGCAUUUAUGGCAGGUGCUAAGGAAAAACUGGAUUGGCAACACAGCGGCUAUAUUUCAUUAGGGGUUUCAGGAGAUUUGGUGGGUCACUUAAAACACUCACAAAUUUCUACAGAUGUCCUGUGGAGAGCAUUCUAAAUGGCUGCAUCACUGUGCAGUUGUGUGGGGGUGGGGGAUGGCUACUGCACAGGAUCAGAAUAAGCUGCAGACUGUUGCAAAAUUAGUCAGUUCCAACAUGGGCACUAGCCUCUGUAGUAUCCAAGGCAACUUCACAGAGCGAUUCCUCAACAAAGCAACAUCCAUUGUUAAGGAUGUCCACCACCCAGGACAUGCCUUUUUCUUAUUGUUACUGUCGAGAAGGAGGUACAGAAGCCUGAAGGCACAUACUCAGCAAUUCAGGAACAGCUUCUGCCAUCGGAUUUCUGAAUGGACAUUGAACCCAUGAACACUAUCUCACUACUUUUUUUAAGUUCCUGUUUUUUGCAUUACUUAUUUAAUGUAACUAUGAUAUGUAUGUGUGUAUAUAUGUGUGUGUGUAUAUAUAUAUAUAUAUAUAUAUAUACACACACACACAUACAGUAUAUCAUAGUUACAUAUAUGUAUAUUUACUGUAAUUCUGCUUUUUAAAAUAUUAUCAUUGUACUGCAGCCGCAAAGCUAACAAAUUCCAUGACAUAGGCUGAUGGUAUUAAACCUGAUUCUGAUUACUGCUCAGUGGAGCAUUUUGCUACAAUGAUAGGUUAGAGUAGGAUUAAUUGUAUUUGAUGAAGUUCACAUGAUGCUGUUCCAAUAUAUCCCUUAGAUAAUUUCCACACAGGGUUCUUGCAUAAGAAGGGCCAGAGUCGCCUUUAAUUCCUGAGGAGACUGAGGUCCUUCAGAGUAUGCAGGCCUCUCCUUCACAUGUUCUACCAUCUGUUGUUGCCAGUACAACAUUCUAUACUGUGCUAUGCUGGGACAAUGGCAUCAACAUGGGUGAUGCUAACAGGCUCAAUAAGCUGAUUAGAUAGGCUGGUUCUGUUAUACGGGUCAAACUUGAGGCAGUGGUGGAACAAAGGACCCUGCAGAAAAUCCUGGCAUUUCUGGACAAUGUUUCUCACCUUCUGCAUGCAAUCUUGGCUAAACAGAGGAGCACUUUUAGUAAUAGACUAAGACAACUGCACUGCUCCAAAGAGCGUUAUAUGAGGUCAUUCUUACCCUCGGCCAUUAGUCUCUAUAAUGAGUCAACCUAUAUCCAGGGAAGUGAUGACCCCCUCCUGUUAGACUGUUUGCGGUAACUUAAUUUCUUUCUACUUCUCUUCUAAUAUUUAUAUCUGUGCACUUCUAAUGCUAUGGUGACACUGUAAUUUCCUUUGGGAUCAAUAAACUAUCUAUCUUCUUCUUCAUCCACAAACAGCUUAAAGGUAGUACUGAGAGUAAUACUAUCAAAUUGAGUGAGUUGCUCACACUCAUCAGUAGCACAUGGAGAUUGUAAGUUGUCGUCUUCUGCUGACUUCUUGAAAGUGAAAUAUUGCAGGUAAUGAUGAGAGGUGGAAAUGUCGUCACAUGAGAGGGCGAGGACAAAUACCAUUCAUGUAACAACUGCAAACAAGUUUGCAAACUGUGAAUACUUUUGAGGACUUCAAAUGUUUUUGAAUAUCAUAAACACUGAAAAAUGAUAAAUCAAUUUAACAAAUUAAAUCAAAAACAGCAUAUAAAGAUUUUAAUGAUUAUGAAAAAAGUGUUGUGUGUUUAAUAUUCAAGUAAUAUUUGAGUAAUCUUGUAUAUAUUGGUUAAUUAAGCACUGUUGUUCAUUUAAAAAAAUAGUAACAGGUUAUAUAUAUAAAUACGUGAAUUGUAUACAUCGCCUGGCUACCGUGUGAUUCGUGCAUAUCUCGUUUAAAGUAAACAUGAAGUUAGACUCUCAUUUCACACCCCUGUGUCUUCCUUUGAAUUAGUUUAAUGGUUUGAAGUUUCAAAAUAUAACAAAAAAUAUUCAAAGUCUUUCAUGAACAAUAAUCUACAUUAGAGCAAAAUUUACCCUUUGCCCUCCCGGCCAUUUCAUAUCAUUCAAAUGAAUGUUCUCCCUGGUCUUAACUGUUACAGAUUCAGUGAGAAGAUUCUCCAGAGUUAUUGCUGGGGAAUUAUCCAAGUGUGUGUUCUGCCACCAGGUUCCACGAAGAGCCCAGCAUAGGAGCAUUGUUGGCGUGGUUAGCCAGCAGGCUUGUGAACUAUCACAAGAUUCUGAAGUUCUUUACAUCAAAGAUCAUAAAUGCCAAAAGUUCAGCCUGGAUCUUCUGGAAUUUCUCUGAAGUUCAGGCCUUUGACAGACCUUCCCAUGGAAGGAUAUAAACAUCAGAACAUCAUUUUUAAUUGCCAAACAUGCUUUCUAACAUUAUCCAAGUCACAUCCUGAGCCAGAUAUUAAUAGGCUCAUUCUUUCCUCCAGUGAUUUAAGAACUUAAUCUACACUCCUGUUUCUGUGCAUUACUGAGUGAAUGCUAUGUGAUAGAAAGCAAAGCCUUUUGGAUGAAUUGUUCAACGGAUGACCCAGUUUGACGGUCUUGUAACAAUCACUUGGCAUUUAAGAAAAAAAGCAGAGCAGCUUUUAAACUGGAAAGGGAGCAGAAAAUAUUUACCAAGAUGUCACCUGCACUUGCAAGCCCGAGUUAGAAGCUUGGGUUGCAUAAACUUGGGCUUUAUUCUGUGAUACGUAGGGUGACCUGAUCGAUGUAUGUAAGAUCAUAAGGGUCAUAGGCAGAAAUGAAGCACCUAGUCUUUUUCACAAAAGGAGGGAGAGAGGUUGCAUAAUCAAGAGGGUAUGAGUUUGAGAUCAGUGGAGAGAGACUUAAGCUGGGUAUCAGUGACAAAUUCAAAUGGCUGGUGCAUAUUUGGAGAAGCUGUCAGAACCAGAGGUUGAAGGAGGGUACAGUAACAACAUUUAAUAGCAAUCUACAUGAGUACAUGAAUAGAAGAGGAUUAGUGUUUUGGGGCAAAUGCAGGUAGCUGGGACUACCUUGCUAUGUAGCACAGUCAACUCUGAUAAUUUGGUCAAAGGGGCUAUUUCCAUGUUAUAUGCAGUAACUCUGACUCUUAAUUGUGGUUUUAACACAGAAUAUUCAAUGGUUGCUACUGAAAACAGGCUCAAAGUAAAUUUCUUAGCAAAGUACGUAAAUAUCAUCAUAUACUACCAUCAGAUCCAUUUCCUUGCGGGCAUUCAUAGUAAAUAUAAAGACACAAUGUAGAAUCAAUGAAAAACCGCACAAGACAGACAAACAACCAAUGUGUGAAAGACACCAAACUAUGCAAAUACUAAAAGAAAAAGAAACAAACAAGAUAAAUAAAUACCAAGAACAUGGGAUGAAGAGUACUUAAAAGUGAGUCAAUAGGUCAUGGAAACAGUUCAGUGUUGAGGUGAGUGAAGUUAACUCACCACUAGCUAUCUGGCUACUUUUCAUUCCUCCUGAGGCAUGGAGCAUCAUGGUUUAAGUAAAUUUGUUUUUUUUUCUUAACAUAUUAAAAAGUAUCAAAAUGCCCACUCUUUAUAAGAAUCGUAAAAAAACACUAUGCGAAGUCCUACAUCUGAUGAAGAUGUGAAAAAUGACUACAAAUCUCUUAGUGAGAUAUAGAGAAAUGCUUCAGCUGAUAAAUAGUCCAGCUGAAAAAUGUACUUGGUGUUAGUCCUUCAGGUGUUGUUGGACCUGUUGUAUAUUUACACUUUUUCUGUUCUCAUUUCAUGCAACUGAUUGUAUAUAACUUUUAGAUGAAUGAAUACUUACCAAUUAAUUGCUAUGCCAGCCUUACAUAAUGUAACACCCUGGGAACUUGGUUUAUAAAUGAACAACCAUAUCUGUACUUCAUGUCAUUAUAAAAUUGCAAAAGCCAAAGGUGUAUUAAAAAAAAAUCAAAAUCGCUCCAGUAGCCUUGGAAUGCAUGAGUUUCCUCCAGAUGCUCCAGUUUCCUCCCACAAUCCAAAAACAUACCGGGUAGGUUAAUCACAGGUUUAUUAUUAGUUAUCCAAAGUACUGCUGCCACAUAGCAACAAGUUUCAUGGCAUAUGCCAGUGAAAUGUCUUCUAUAGAUGUCUCAUGGACAAUAUAUUGACUAGCUGCAUCACAGCCUGGUAUGGAAACACUAAUGCCUUGAAUGGAAAAUCGUACAAGUAGUUGAUUUGGCCCCUUCCUUCACAGGUAAAGCUCUCCCAACCAUUGAGCACAUCUACAUGAAACGCUGUCAUUGGAAAGCAGGGUCCAUCAUUAGGGAUCCCCACCACCCAGGUUAUGCUUUCUCCUAACUUCUCACUACUACCAUCAGGAAGAAGGUACAGGAGCCUCAGGACUCAUGCUGUCUGAUUCAAGAACAGUUAUUACCCUUCACUCAUUAAGCUCUUGAGGAUAACUUCACUCAACUUCACUUGCCCCAUCAUCGAAAUGUUCCCACAACCAGUGGAAUCACUUUCAAGGUCUCUUCAUCUCAUGAUCUGGUUUUUUAUUGCUAUUUAUUUAUACUUGUAUUUGCACAGCUUGCUGUCUUCUGUACUCUGUCUGAAUGCCCUAGUUGGGCAGUCCUUCAUUAAUUCUGUUAUAAUUACCAUUCUAUAGGUUUGCUGAGUGUGCCCACAAGAAAAUGAAUCUCAGGGUUGCAUACUCAGCUUAUAUGUACUUUGAUAUUAAAAUAUACUUUGAACUUUGGCCUUUGAUUCUGAUUCUAAAAACGUAAUUGAGAAUAACAAGCUUAGUGGUUGAUGCCUGUGUAUUUUCAUCAAGAUUUCCAUCAUCUGCAGACUCCCUUGUGUUAAUUAGCAAAACAGGGAAACACUUUAUUCUAAGUCAACUUCCAACCUGAACUAACCAUUUUCUUGUUAAAUUUGAAUUUCAAAGCAAUAUGGAUGUUAAUCCAAUCAAUAUAACCAAUGUGUGUUAAACAAGCAAAAUGUCCUCCCCUGAAUUCAAGUGCACCAAUACCAUCAUCAACAACAAAGCCACUUUAAAGUAGAGAAGUAAAACUGAAAUGCCAUUUUACAUAGAACAUCAUUUACUGCACAAAAAGCCUUGAGGCAAAUUGUGGAUUAAUCCAUACAGGAUCAAAUGGAGUAAAUGUAUAAUUCAACCAACAAAUAAAAGCACGUCUAUUUAACCUCAAUGAAAUUUUGCAUCAUUAACAGCUUCAACUGGCCAUAUUGACAUUGCAAAUGAAGAACUAUCAGAUGAAGUACAAUACUCAAACAACAUUUAUCAGACUAAGUCUAUAAUGUGCUGUUUAAUGGUAAAAUCACAUUUUAUGUUACAGAGCUGCUGUUUAAUUAAAUUUCCGCAUUAAAUAAGACACUUCAGUUGAAUGGAUGAACAAUUUAUUGCAAGUGCAUAUGAUGCAUGUGCUAAACUAAAUCAAACAUAACAGCACUAGUGGUUGAUUCCAACACAGAAAGAUUUUCUGGAGGGAAAUAUCGUGUUUAUGUAUUUUCAGUACAGAGAGGAGAGUGAGUGAGUGAGAGAGAGUCAGUCACAGAACUCUACAGUACAAAAAAAUGCUCUCUGGUCCAUCUAGUCCAUGCCAGACUAUCAUUUUAUAUAUAUAGUGAUGCUCUGGGGGGUGGGCGUGGUCGACAGCCCACCCCUGCAUUUCUAAUGACCAGUACUGUUUAUUGCCUUUGUGUUAAAAUACUUUUGUGGGAUUAUGGUGGGAAGCUCCAGUUCAUUUAUUGUUACAUUUUAGCUUGGGUUAUACAGUUAUUUGCUUGUGUAUUUGUGGGUCACCCUAAUUGUAACCGAUGUGUGUGAUAGUCACCUCCCCCCGUCUGUGUGAGACUGGUGGGCUUCACUCUCCGGGUCAUGGUGCCUGGUCUGUUUUGUGUUUGUCACAAUA